AAUAAACGCUGGCGGCGUGCCUAACACAUGCAAGUCGAGCGAGAAAGCUCCUUCGGGAGUGAGUACAGCGGCGAACGGGUGAGCAACGCGUGGGAAUCUACCCUUCAGUGAAGAAUACCCUUGAGAAAUCGAGGUUAAUACUGCAUACGUCCUGUAAAGGAGAAAGAUGGCCUCUUUGCUGUCGUUGAGGGAUGAGCCUGCGUACUAUUAGCUAGUUGGUAGGGUAACGGCCUACCAAGGCGAUGAUGGUUAACCGGCCUGAGAGGGUGAUCGGCCACACUGGGACUGAGACACGGCCCAGACUCCUACGGGAGGCAGCAGUAGGGAAUCUUCCGCAAUGGACGAAAGUCUGACGGAGCAACACCGCGUGAGUGAUGAAGGCUUUCGGGUCGUAAAACUCUGUUGUUAGGGAAGAACAAGUGCUAGUUGAAUAAGCUGACACCUUGACGGUACCUAACCAGAAAGCCACGGCUAACUACGUGCCAGCCGCCGCGGUAA
rnacentral:rRNA from 1 species